GGGCGUUUAGCGCAGUGGUAGCGCGUAUGCUUUGCAUAGUUAUGGUGAUUAUCCCAUCGUACUGAUGUAAGCGAUUGUAUAAGGUCCAGGGUUCAAUCCCCUGAACGUCCA